GGCAAGUUUCAUUUUAGCUUGUUCUGAGAAGUUCAAGGCCACCUGUGCCAAAGGUGCCAAGGUCACUAGUGGCUUUAGUUCUCCAUCUUUGGGGAGAGUUCAGCACAAAUCCAGCCUGAUUCCCAGUAAUGAAAUCCCCAGUGGGAGCAGGACCAUGCUGGUUAGGAAGUGUAUGUGGUGGUAUAUGGGCUGACAGCAUGAGGACUCUCCUGCUUGUCCCAGCCACAUACAAGCUCUGCCUUGGCUCAGUUUGAGUGAGCAGAGUGGCUUGUCGAAUGAGAAGAUUUGGGCACUAGGUAGGGACUACUCUGAACUGAAAUGUUACUUGUGCACACAAUAUGAAAACUACUGAUUUAAAGCAUGGGUGCAGUGGCCUCAAGCCCACAGUUGGGUAAAACUAGCAGGCAGAUACAGCUGAAGUUGCUAUUGCUCUCUUUGGAUUUAUAUUCCCUGUAUAGUCAGGUUUUAUUACCUAUGUGUAUAACUGUUCAUUACCUUCUUAGCAGUGUCACAGAACCUAUGGUUGUAAAUAGUCUGCAAGCACCUUCAAAAAAAACCCCAAACCUCUUCCAAUGCAUACCCUCCAGCUUUGCUUAGGGAUAAAGAUUCCCUGCCUCCUGGAGGAGAUGGGGGGGAGGGGGGGGUUGUCUUCCUUUUAAACUCAUAAGCAAAGAUAUUUAAAAAUGUCAUAUGAUUUUGGAAACCGUAGUGGUUGAAGAUUACUGUAGAGGCACUGUUAAACUAUCUUGCAAGCCAAGAAUAAAAACCUCUGAUGCUGGGCAGCAGGUACAAAAGAGAAGGCAGAAAGAGACAGCCAGUGCUUUGGCAAGUCUGGAACCCACAUUCAAGGCAAAGAGAGAGUAAGAAAAGGAGCAGAGAAGCUGGCACAUACAAGUUCAUUUAAUUGCCCUGGUAGUUCUUCAGGUACAUUCAAUUUAUACCCAGACUUUUGACCACAUUUGUAAUCUAGGUUGGUUUGUUGCAUGCUUUCAUUGCACAGCUGUUACUGUGUGGGGGUUGGUUUUAUGCUUCCUUCUUUCUAAAACUUGUAAUGCUCUGUCUUGACUUUUGAGUGGUCAGGAAGAUUUGGACUGCUUGUCUGGGUUUCUUCCUUGAUAGGGAGGAAGAGUGGAGUUUAUUUUCAAAAUCUCUCUUAUUCGUAAGUUAUUUACACCCUUGGACAGGAUUUGGAUGGCAAAGCUGACGCUAAUAGCAGGUGGAGAUCUAUUUUGAGAGCUACAGCAAGAUCAGCACUGUCUCUCAGCAUCUCCAGCCAACAGCAGUCGAUUCUCUGCCCAAAGCAUCCCAUGACACUGUGUUUCGGAGUCCUAACUCUUCCGCAGCACAAAACGGGGCCCCACUGCAGAGAACAUGAGCUUGGCACGCCACUUGGAAAUGAUUUCUCUCCCAUGUAUCCAGCCACCUGGCUCGGCUGUCAGUGAAACUUGGCAAUAAAUUCCUUGACAUCCCAUUAUAAUUUUAUGAGCUGGUUGAGAUUGUCGUAUUCCAUUAGCUCCUGACAAGCCUCCAUGCAGGGAGGAGCACAAGCCUGUGUUUGUUAGCCACCUAUGUGAAAUGCUGGAGAUGAGCAGGUUUCCCCGCUGCAGUGUCUAGCUGACUGCAGAUACAAUAAUCACUUCACUCAGCACCGCACAGGAACCACCCUUGGCAAGGCCAUGGCAGCUGUCAAGCAGCACAUCAGGAAUCGCUGCUCCAGUUCAACACAUCAUGAGGGCAUUUGUGCAGCAGGAGGAGCCAGUUAACUGACCUGGAACUAGCAUCAAAGUGUUAACAAGCCCCCGCAGUAUUGCUGAAGUUACUUCUAAGUGAUGUGUUCAAGCACUGGAAAGGUAAGAUCUCAUUUCUAAGCUGCAGUGAGUGGCUUUGUGUGCAUCUGCUAUGUGCAUACCUAUAAUCAGCUUACAGAUGCUCUAACAACACUGGGAACAUUGUGGGGCAGAUUUUGAUGUUUGUGCUUUGUAUUAUCAAGUGUCCAAGCAAAUAGAGUCCUCUGAGAAGCUGGCAUGCUGGUAGUCUGCUCGUGUCCUAUGCCACAAGAAUAUUUUCUGUGGCUUCUGAUAGGAAGUUUAUUAAUGAGCAUGAAGUGCUGUGUGUUUGAUGGCUUUUCUGGAUUCUUUUUUGCACUUUGUGGUUGCCUGGAACAAGUGACUCAAAUGAUCCCCCCUUCAUAUGCUGGAGAACCAGACAUCCUGAGUCAAGAGCAUUGGGGCGUACAGGAAAAAUGCCUUGCUUAGAUGGGAGGAAAUGUUGGUUAAAUGCUACUGUGUGAAGACUGUUCUUUGGUUAUGGUCAGAUUACUGGCUCAAGCCAGACCUUGCAAUGACAUAUGGGCUGAAUUUUGUUCUGAUGUGGAGGUGGUCUUUUAGCAGGUGAGGAGGUAUUUCUAUGUGUUUUGGGCUUUGAUUUGGUUUUCCUUGCAUUUCAGAUCCUUGGUUCUUCAUGCGUUAGCCUGUAGGGCCUUAUUUAUGGGAAACAUAGAUGCUUCCUAAGAUCCAUUUUGGACAGGGAAUAUGAUUUUCAGGGCCCAGAAGUGGCUCCCCAGUUAGUC